AAAUUGAAGAGUUUGAUCAUGGCUCAGAUUGAACGCUGGCGGCAGGCCUAACACAUGCAAGUCGAGCGGAAACGAGUUAUCUGAACCUUCGGGGAACGAUAACGGCGUCGAGCGGCGGACGGGUGAGUAAUGCCUAGGAAAUUGCCCUGAUGUGGGGGAUAACCAUUGGAAACGAUGGCUAAUACCGCAUGAUGCCUACGGGCCAAAGAGGGGGACCUUCGGGCCUCUCGCGUCAGGAUAUGCCUAGGUGGGAUUAGCUAGUUGGUGAGGUAAGGGCUCACCAAGGCGACGAUCCCUAGCUGGUCUGAGAGGAUGAUCAGCCACACUGGAACUGAGACACGGUCCAGACUCCUACGGGAGGCAGCAGUGGGGAAUAUUGCACAAUGGGCGCAAGCCUGAUGCAGCCAUGCCGCGUGUGUGAAGAAGGCCUUCGGGUUGUAAAGCACUUUCAGUCGUGAGGAAGGUAGUGUAGUUAAUAGCUGCAUUAUUUGACGUUAGCGACAGAAGAAGCACCGGCUAACUCCGUGCCAGCAGCCGCGGUAAUACGGAGGGUGCGAGCGUUAAUCGGAAUUACUGGGCGUAAAGCGCAUGCAGGUGGUUUGUUAAGUCAGAUGUGAAAGCCCGGGGCUCAACCUCGGAAUAGCAUUUGAAACUGGCAGACUAGAGUACUGUAGAGGGGGUAGAAUUUCAGGUGUAGCGGUGAAAUGCGUAGAGAUCUGAAGGAAUACCGGUGGCGAAGGCGGCCCCCUGGACAGAUACUGACACUCAGAUGCGAAAGCGUGGGGAGCAAACAGGAUUAGAUACCCUGGUAGUCCACGCCGUAAACGAUGUCUACUUGGAGGUUGUGGCCUUGAGCCGUGGCUUUCGGAGCUAACGCGUUAAGUAGACCGCCUGGGGAGUACGGUCGCAAGAUUAAAACUCAAAUGAAUUGACGGGGGCCCGCACAAGCGGUGGAGCAUGUGGUUUAAUUCGAUGCAACGCGAAGAACCUUACCUACUCUUGACAUCCAGAGAACUUUCCAGAGAUGGAUUGGUGCCUUCGGGAACUCUGAGACAGGUGCUGCAUGGCUGUCGUCAGCUCGUGUUGUGAAAUGUUGGGUUAAGUCCCGCAACGAGCGCAACCCUUAUCCUUGUUUGCCAGCGAGUAAUGUCGGGAACUCCAGGGAGACUGCCGGUGAUAAACCGGAGGAAGGUGGGGACGACGUCAAGUCAUCAUGGCCCUUACGAGUAGGGCUACACACGUGCUACAAUGGCGCAUACAGAGGGCGGCCAACUUGCGAAAGUGAGCGAAUCCCAAAAAGUGCGUCGUAGUCCGGAUUGGAGUCUGCAACUCGACUCCAUGAAGUCGGAAUCGCUAGUAAUCGUGGAUCAGAAUGCCACGGUGAAUACGUUCCCGGGCCUUGUACACACCGCCCGUCACACCAUGGGAGUGGGCUGCAAAAGAAGUAGGUAGUUUAACCUUCGGGGGGACGCUUACCACUUUGUGGUUCAUGACUGGGGUGAAGUCGUAACAAGGUAGCGCUAGGGGAACCUGGCGCUGGAUCACCUCCUUA
rnacentral:rRNA from 1 species